UACGGAGGAUCCAAGCGUUAUCCGGAUUUAUUGGGUUUAAAGGGUGCGUAGGCGGAUUAUUAAGUCAGUGUUGAAAGACUAAAGCUCAACUUUAGAAGUGGCAUUGAUACUGGUAGUCUUGAGUACAGAUGAAGUGGGCGGAAUGUGUCAUGUAGCGGUGAAAUGCAUAGAUAUGACACAGAACACCGAUUGCGAAGGCAGCUCACUAAGUUGUAACUGACGCUGAGGCACGAAAGCGUGGGGAUCAAACAGG
rnacentral:rRNA from 1 species